AACGAACGCUGGCGGCAUGCCUAACACAUGCAAGUCGAACGAGACCUUCGGGUCUAGUGGCGCACGGGUGCGUAACGCGUGGGAACCUGCCCUUAGGUUCGGAAUAACUCCCCGAAAGGGGUGCUAAUACCGGGUAAUGUCUUCGGACCAAAGAUUUAUCGCCUUUGGAUGGGCCCGCGUUGGAUUAGCUAGUUGGUAGGGUAAAAGCCUACCAAGGCGACGAUCCAUAGCUGGUCUGAGAGGAUGAUCAGCCACACUGGGACUGAGACGCGGCCCAGACUCCUACGGGAGGCAGCAGUGGGGAAUAUUGGACAAUGGGCGAAAGCCUGAUCCAGCAAUGCCGCGUGAGUGAUGAAGGCCUUAGGGUUGUAAAGCUCUUUUACCCGGGAUGAUAAUGACAGUACCGGGAGAAUAAGCUCCGGCUAACUCCGUG
rnacentral:rRNA from 1 species